UACGUAGGGUGCGAGCGUUAAUCGGAAUUACUGGGCGUAAAGCGUGCGCAGGCGGUUUUGUAAGCCAGAUGUGAAAUCCCCGGGCUUAACCUGGGAAUGGCAUUUGGGACUGCAAGGCUGGAGUGCGGCAGAGGAGACUGGAAUUCCUGGUGUAGCAGUGAAAUGCGUAGAGAUGUGGAGGAACACCAAUGGCGAAGGCAGCCUUCUGGGCCAACACUGACGCUCAUGCACGAAAGCGUGGGGAGCAAACAGG
rnacentral:rRNA from 1 species